UAUCUCUGUAGAGUCUGCAUAUCAAUAAGCGGAGGAAAAGAAACUAACAAGGAUUCCCUUAGUAACGGCGAGUGAAGCGGGAAGAGCUCAAAUUUGAAAUCUUCAAGGUUCUACCUUGACGAAUUGUAGUUUAAAGAAGUGUUUUCUGUUAGUGGAGUGGCGAAAGUUCUUUGGAAUAGGACAUCAUAGAGGGUGAGAAUCCCGUAUUUGGUCAUUCCUUCUAGCUUUGUGAUACACUUUCAAAGAGUCGGAUUGUUUGGGAAUGCAGUCCAAAAUGGGUGGUAAAUUUCAUCUAAAGCUAAAUAUUGGCGAGAGACCGAUAGCGAGCAAGUACCGUGAGGGAAAGAUGAAAAGAACUUUGAAAAGAGAGUUAAACAGUACGUGAAAUUGUCAAAAGGGAAGCGUUUGACACCAGUGUUGUUUUUCCGAAAAUCAAUUAUAAAUGUUUUGUUUCUGAGGAGUGAUGACUUCAUCGGCUUCCUUCUCUCUUUACGAAACUUUUGUAAUGCACUUUUCGGUUAACAAGUCAACAUCAAUUUCUUUUGUUGUAAAAGAGUAUUCGGAAGGUGGCUUUCUUUUCGGAGAAAGUGUUUAUAGCCCUAUACUUCUACAAUCGGAGAGAUUGAGGUCUGCAGCGUAGAUCCUUCGGGGUUAGAUACAUUUGUGCUAAGUUAUAGCCUUUCAUAGACAACUUGUUGACUAUGAUUCAGUCAUUGUAGCUUACUCGCUUAUGCUAUUUUACCUACGCUUAGGAUGUUGAGUAGCGACAUACGCAC
rnacentral:rRNA from 1 species